UACGGAGGGUGCAAGCGUUAUCCGGAUUUAUUGGGUUUAAAGGGUCCGUAGGCGGAUGAUUAAGUCAGUGGUGAAAGCCCACAGCUCAACUGUGGAACUGCCAUUGAUACUGAUCAUCUUGAGUACAUUUGAAGUUGGCGGAAUAGGUCAUGUAGCGGUGAAAUGCUUAGAUAUGACCUAGAACACCGAUUGCGAAGGCAGCCAACUAAGCUGUAACUGACGCUGAGGGACGAAAGCGUGGGGAGCGAACAGG
rnacentral:rRNA from 1 species